rnacentral:rRNA from 1 species
UAGGAAUAUUGCGCAAUGGGGGAAACCCUGACGCAGCGACGCCGCGUGGGUGAUGAAGGCCUUCGGGUUGUAAAGCCCUUUCGACGGGAACGAAAAAAAUGACGGUACCCGUAGAAGAAGCACCGGCCAACUUCGUGCCAGCAGCCGCGGUAAUACGAAGGGUGCCAGCGUUAUUCGGAAUUACUGGGCGUAAAGAGCGCGUAGGCGGUUCUGUAAGUUUGAUGUGAAAGCCCGGGGCUCAACCCCGGAACUGCAUUGAAUACUGCAAGACUAGAGUAUAGGAGAGGAAAGCGGAAUUCCUGGUGUAGAGGUGAAAUUCGUAGAUAUCAGGAGGAACAACAGAGGCGAAGGCGGCUUUCUAGACUAUAACUGACGCUGAGGCCGCGAAAGCGUGGGUAGCAAAC